GAUGAAGAACGUAGCGAAAUGCGAUAAGUAGUGUGAAUUGCAGAAUUCAGUGAAUCAUCGAAUCUUCGAACGCACAUUGCGCCCCUUGGUAUUCCAUGGGGCAUGCCUGUUCGAGCGUCAUUUGUACCUUCAAGCUUUGCUUGGUGUUGGGUGUUUGUCCUGAGGGACUCGCCUUAAAGUAAUUGGCAGCCAGUGUUUGGUUUUGAAGCGCAGCACAAGUCGCGAUUCAAGGCUAUACACCAGCUUCCACAAGCCUUUUUCACUUUUGACCUCGGAUCAGGUAGGGAUACCCGCUGAACUUAAGCAUAUCAAUAAGCGGAGGA
rnacentral:misc_RNA from 1 species